rnacentral:tRNA from 1 species
CGGAGCGUGGCGCAGCUAGGUAGCGCACUUGACUGGGGGUCAAGGGGUCGUGAGUUCAAAUCUCGCCGCUCCGA